rfam:Camelus ferus unplaced genomic scaffold scaffold637, whole genome shotgun sequence.
GAGGGUAUAGCUCAGUGGUACAGUGCAUGCUUGGCAUACACAGGGUCCUGGGUUCAAUCCCCAGUACCUCCA